UCUUCUUUUCCUCGGCGCUGCCUACGGAGGUGGCCGCCAUCUCCUACUCGGCAUCAUGGCUGCCCUCAGACCCCUCGUGAAGCACAAGAUCGUCAAAAAGAGGACCAAGAAGUUCAUCCGGCACCAGUCAGACCGGUAAGUCAAAAUUAAGCGGAACUGGGCUUCCCUGGUGGCGCAGUGGUUGAGAAAACCCAGAGGCAUUGACAACAGGGUGCGCAGGAGAUUCAAGGGCCAGAUCUUGAUGCCCAACAUCGGUUACGGGAGCAACAAGAAAACAAAGCACGUGCUGCCCAGCGGCUCUGCCCAGUUCCUGGUCCAGUUCCUGGUCCACAACGUCAAGGAGCUUGAAGUGUUGCUGAUGUGCAACAAGUCUUACUGUGCUGAGAUUGCGCACAACGUCUCCUCCAAGAACCGCAAAGCCAUUGUGGAGAGAGCAGCCCAGCUGGCCCUCAGAGUCACCAAUCCCAACGCCAGGCUGCGCGGCGAAGAAAAUGAAUUGACAGCUCGUGUGCACGUUUUGUUUAAUAAAACCGUAAAACGGCAAAAAAAGAAAAAUCUGUCAGUAUUGAUUCAUCACUUGUAA